rnacentral:lncRNA from 1 species
CUCGCAGGAUGCUGAUGCCGAGAAGCAGUCACUGCAGUCUCAAGUUGGUGAGCUGGCUGCCAGGCUGGCCGAUGCCGCCCGCCAGAUGGACGACAUGACGGAUCAACUCACGAAAGCGCAGGCACAAAUCAGCUCUUUACGCGCGGAACUACGAAGCUCUCAAGAGGAGACCGCGGAUCUUGUUCGCCAACUGGAAAGUAUGGAGAAGCAUCUGUCUGACGCCAGAGUGGAACUACAGGCGCAGGAAGACAGCUUCAAGCAGGAGACGG